AUCCAAUGAAUUCACGGCAAGUGACGUCUUUGUGGCACAAAAUAUUGAGGCUGUAAAGAGUGAUUGAGAAAGUUACUCGACAAUGAUUAAGGAAGAAGAAGGUGGAGUGCUGGAACAAAAUUGUUGUUUCUGGGAAUGAGAACAAAGAGUGAUGGAAAUGAGUGAAGUGCGCAACGCGAAGAGAAUGGAGAGAGAAGAGUGAAGACCCUCCACGCCAAUGAUCUGCAUGGGCGACACCUGGACAGAGGAACAAAUCCGAGACUCCGAUUUGAGCCUCGUCCCUGCCCGUCUAUCUGUUGGAUUGAUGUCCCUUGGGAGGCUCCGAUUUGGGGAGCCAAUCUAGUUCCUUGGAACAAAGGCCUCUUCUGGUUGCCCAAUGCUUAGAAAACAUAAACUACAACAUGAAUUCAGAAAUGAGGUAUCUGAACGAGGACCCUUGGAUAUUGAAGAUCUUGCAAACCUUGGAUAAACAUUGGGAACCUGUCCGUACUACGGCUCUAGAAACAUGGUUGUGAGAGCUGAUCUUGUUGUCCUUCCGUCAAUUUCUUUUGUAGAAAUCAUCUCCUGAAGCUCUUGGUCUGAAUUUGAUAUCCAAUAUUGUUAUAAUAGAUGAGGCACAUGAUUUAGCUGAUUCAUUCAUCAGCAUGUAUGACUCAAAAAUUACUUUAUCACGGCUGGAGAAUGUGCAUUGCCAUGUAGAACGGCACUUUGUGAGAUUCCGCAGUCUUUUGGGACCAGCCAACCGGAGAUAUAUUCAAACUCUGAUGGUUCUGACUCAAGAAUGGAAAUCUGAUGGAUUCUUACCAUCAUCACAUAGAACAGGCUUCUGAAGAAAGUAGAACAUCUAAUUUUACUAUGGCCAUCAAUGAUUUUAUCUUUGAACUAAAUAUAGACAAUAUCAACUUGAUGAAAUUGUUGAAGUAUAUAAAGGAAAGUAAUAUCAUGCACAAGGUGAAUCUGCUACUAAAUACUUACAUUAUUGGUUUCUUGCACAGAAUCUUCUAGUGAGAAAAUUCAGAUGUCAAACACACAAGUGGCAGCAAUAAUAGUUGCCAUUGUUUUCCCUUCAACAUUGAUAUGUUAGGCCAAUGAGUUAUAACUCAAAUGGCAUAGUUUCCUCGUACUUACUUAAGAGGUCACGAAUUCGAGUCUCCUCAUCUUUGGUAAAAAAAAAAAAAAAACAUUGAUAUGCUUAGUGAUGUUAUAUGUAAUGUUGA